rnacentral:lncRNA from 1 species
UCGGGAGCAGACCCAGGGGAAGGGGGCACUGUGCACUCUUGCCGGGUAGGCAAAAGUCUGUCUGCUUCUCGGCAGCUGUGUGGCUUCAAAGCCCAGACAGCAGGGACUGAAGACUGAGCAAGCCACCCCUCUCCUGUCCCAGACCCACCUGAACCCACCAAAGCUGGGAAAGGAGGGGUAGUGGAGACUCCAGAAAAACAGGAAAAAUUUAAACACAACCACUAAGUAAAGCAUCAUUAACUCCUGUUGUGCUGAGCCCACAAACAGCCCAGCACUCACUGUUCUACUGUCUGUAGCUGUGCAUUUGACAACUCUAGGGACCUCAUCGUAUAAUCAUGGUAAGUGGAAUCAUACAGUAUUUGUCCUUCUGUGUCUGGCUUCUUUCACUGAGCAUGUCUUUUGGGUUCAUCCAUGUGUCGUAGCAUGUUCUUUUUAAAAUAUUGUCUGCCCAGGCACAGUACAGUAGCAUACGCUUGUAGUGCCAGCUACAGGAGGCUGUGGUGGGAGGAUCGUUUGACCCAGGAGUUUGAGUCCAGCCCCCUUGGGCAACAUAGUGAGACCCCAUCUCUAAAAAAAAAACAAAAAAG